GUUUUGUUAGAAUUCAUUGUUUGUCUUGGUUAAUCUAGUGAACAACACUGCAGAAUAUGUUGGUGCCAUGUAAAUAAUUUAAUUGUAGCAGUACUGUACUGUAAGGAAGAAUUGGUCAUUUAUUGAGAUAAAGAGAUCACAUUUACAGAUGUCCAAAGGAUAAGAAAUUGGAUUUACUUGCGCUAUCAAAUUCAACAAGUUACUAUAAAAACGGGUUUGUUUUUUUCUACUAAUGCAGGAUAGAUAUCCAAGGAUAUAGUUGUAAAUUGGACACUCCAAGCACCAUAACCAAUAAAGCCUCCCUGUAUUGGUUACGGUGCCAGGACAGCCCUUGCACCCUCCCAGAGUAAGUGGUCAAACCAUUCUAAGCAUACCUAUAUCCUACCAGUCACCCACCGCCUCCUCCCCUCUGCCAAGAAGUUUGCAGUUAGCAUCACUGUGCCAAGCCCGCAUUGUCAGCAGAGCGGUACUGAGGCAAGAGCUACUGGCAGCAGAGGAGGUGGUGGCAUGCACCUGGCACAACCCACGUAAGUUGUCAAAUCAUCGCUAAACUGUUUUACUACUUACUCUUUGAGGGAGUCAGGGCACUCCUAGCACUGUAACCAUUACACUACCAAUUAGUAAUUUAUUACAGGACCAGGAAAAUAUCUAAUUGUGAUUUUGGAGUUUACAAUACAUUUUAUUUAUUUUUAGUGGGUAAUUAAAAUUAAAUUCAGAUUCCAUCGCCUCUUUUUAAACCAGCAGCAGGUGCACAGGAUUGCAAAAUUUUCAACUUCACUGAAUCGUUUUUUCUGUGCCUUAUUUACUUUGUCACUCAGCAUUCACGUCAUCUAAAUUAAUAGUUAGAAUAGCACUAACCUUAGUACUGUUGAAGAUAUGGGACAUUACAUCAGCCUGCUCACCAAAUCUUUCACAGAGUAUCCUACACGGUAUCUGGACGCUGGUGUGUGAUUUGCUGGUGGGUCUUGGGAGAACAGUUUAUUAAGAGUUCUCACCACAUGUAAAGUCAGCUAUGUGGUUUACAGGUUGUAAGUUUGUUAAUAGGUAAGUUGACUCGUUAAAAAUCCCAGGGCCCACACCUAUAUAUUUCUGUAACUUCCGUUGGGUACUUAUUCCACACUUGAACCAUUGAUUGUAAAGCGUUGAGGAAUAAGUUGUCACUAUAAAUGCCAAAAAUAAUUAUGGAUAUUCUGUGGACACGUAUGAAAAUACAUUCUGUGGGGCUGUAUUAGAAUGAUCUCCUUGUUAGUUGACAAGUUACAUAAUUAUUCUACAGUAAAGAGAGACAUAUGGUGUAUUUGUUGUGCCUCCAAUUCUCAGAGACAUCCAACUGUUUCAGUACUAGAUAAUUCCAACAUCUCAGACCAUUGGUGGCUUCUGAGCAUAACUCCUGUGAUCACCAGGGUUUUGUUGACCCGUGUCAAGGAAAGGUCUGCCAUAAACAUUGUGAGACAGCAAAUCUAACGCAUACUGAACCAGAACCACCGCAAGGUGAAAGUAAAGCAGCAUUGUAUGGAGUUAAUUAAGGGGUCUAUUUUUAAAUUCUGGCCUGAAACUCUAAUCAAACUCUAACCCAGCAUGACCAGGUAACUCACAAAGUGAGGUACCUUGUCUCUCCAUAUCGGAUGGAAUCCUAAUUUCUGAAGUUAAAUAAUAAACCAAAACAUAGAUUGGAUUAUUCACUAUACUGAAAAUUGACAAAGCACUGUAGA